rnacentral:rRNA from 1 species
GAUGAACGCUGGCGGCGUGCCUAAUACAUGCAAGUCGAGCGAACAGACGAGGAGCUUGCUCCUCUGACGUUAGCGGCGGACGGGUGAGUAACACGUGGAUAACCUACCUAUAAGACUGGGAUAACUUCGGGAAACCGGAGCUAAUACCGGAUAAUAUAUUGAACCGCAUGGUUCAAUAGUGAAAGACGGUUUUGCUGUCACUUAUAGCUGGAUCCGCGCCGCAUUAGCUAGUUGGUAAGGUAACGGCUUACCAAGGCAACGAUGCGUAGCCGACCUGAGAGGGUGAUAGGCAACACGGGAACUGAGACACGGUCCAGACUCCUACGGGAGGCAGCAGUAGGGAAUCUUACGCAAUGGGCGAAAGCCUGACGGAGCAACGCCGCGUGAGUGAUGAAGGUCUUCGGAUCGUAAAAAUCUGUUAUUAGGGAAGAACAAAUGUGUAAGUAACUAUGCACGUCUUGACGGUACCUAAUCAGAAAGCCACGGCUAACUACGUG